CUCACGGGCCGUGACUGGCGCGCUGGGAUGGACCAACCAUCGGGGAGCGGCCCCCUGGACCUCGUCCAGACCGAGUGCCGUGCGCCUGGGCCGUCCCG
rnacentral:ncRNA from 2 species